UGAGGCGGCGGACGGGUGAGUACGCGUGGGUAACCUGCCUCAUACAGGGGGAUAACAGUUAGAAAUGACUGCUAAUACCGCAUAAGACCACGGUACCGCAUGGUACAGUGGUAAAAACUCCGGUGGUAUGAGAUGGACCCGCGUCUGAUUAGGUAGUUGGUGGGGUAACGGCCUACCAAGCCGACGAUCAGUAGCCGACCUGAGAGGGUGACCGGCCACAUUGGGACUGAGACACGGCCCAG
rnacentral:rRNA from 1 species